rnacentral:rRNA from 1 species
AUUGAACGCUGGCGGCAGGCCUAACACAUGCAAGUCGAGCGGUAACACAAGGGAGCUUGCUCCUGAGGUGACGAGCGGCGGACGGGUGAGUAAUGCCUAGGUAUCUGCCCAGUCGAGGGGGAUAACAGUUGGAAACGACUGCUAAUACCGCAUACGCCCUACGGGGGAAAGGAGGGGACCUUCGGGCCUUCCGCGAUUGGAUGAACCUAGGUGGGAUUAGCUAGUUGGUGAGGUAAUGGCUCACCAAGGCGACGAUCCCUAGCUGGUCUGAGAGGAUGAUCAGCCACACUGGGACUGAGACACGGCCCAGACUCCUACGGGGAGGCAGCAGUGGGGAAUAUUGGACAAUGGGCGAAAGCCUGAUCCAGCCAUGCCGCGUGUGUGAAGAAGGCUUUCGGGUUGUAAAGCACUUUCAGCGAGGAGGAAAGGAGUGGUGCUAAUAUCACCGCUCUGUGACGUUACUCGCAGAAGAAGCA